rnacentral:rRNA from 1 species
UGGGGAAUUUUGGACAAUGGGCGAAAGCCUGAUCCAGCAAUGCCGCGUGUGUGAAGAAGGCCUUCGGGUUGUAAAGCACUUUUGUCCGGAAAGAAAUCCUUGGCUCUAAUACAGUCGGGGGAUGACGGUACCGGAAGAAUAAGCACCGGCUAACUACGUGCCAGCAGCCGCGGUAAUACGUAGGGUGCAAGCGUUAAUCGGAAUUACUGGGCGUAAAGCGUGCGCAGGCGGUUUGCUAAGACCGAUGUGAAAUCCCCGGGCUCAACCUGGGAACUGCAUUGGUGACUGGCAGGCUAGAGUAUGGCAGAGGGGGGUAGAAUUCCACGUGUAGCAGUGAAAUGCGUAGAGAUGUGGAGGAAUACCGAUGGCGAGGGCAGCCCCCUGGGCAAUACUGACGCUCAUGCACGAAAGCGUGGGGAGCAAACAGGAUUAGAUACCCUGGUAGUCCACGCCCUAAACGAUGUCAACUAGUUGUUGGGGAUCAUUUCCUUAGUAACGUAGCUAACGCGUGAAGUUGACCGCCUGGGGAGUACGGUCGCAAGAUUAAAAACUUAAAGGAAUUGACGGGGUCAUAGCUGUUUCCU